GGAAGUGUGGAGAUUCGAGGUUCCAGAGCACUGUGACUUUCUCAAGCCCUCUGCACGCCUUUUAUCUGCAUUUGUCUCUUCCUCCGGGCAGGAAACUCAAGCUUGCCGAUGCUCGGGAAAUUCCCUGAACUUGGGAAAAAUUCGUCUUGGACCCCACCUACUAUGCCCAUAAGAAGCUCAGACAAUGUGCGAGACCACACAGGGAGACCUGAUAGCUCUAGUUGAGCUUCCAGCUGAAGCCAGCCCUGAUUAUUAGCCCUUGUUCAGCCUAGAGAGUCUAAUUUGUGUCCCCAAAUGUCCUUCAGCAACUGGAGCCUGGUUAGCCUACCAAAAAUUACACCUGUGAAAGAGACUGAUUCUCCUUCUCCUAGCAGCUUGUUGCUUCCAGUAGUACGUCAGGUCGGGUUGGGGUUUCUUCCCCACUUCCCCACAUCUGGUUGCUGAGUUUUAUACUGCCCAGUAAAAAGGAGCCUGAGAUAUUCACAGUCUUUCCUUGCAGUGCACUGGGCUCAUCUCCUUACAGAUUGAAAAACCCUGCAUGACAGUCUCAGAAAGCCAAAGUACCAGGAACCUAAGAAUGUUAUUAUUCCUUCAACUCCAUAAACCUAUUUAUGUGUGCUUGCCUUUAAGAACUAGCACAAAGCCUCUGUGAGUUAUAGGCCUGGAUAAUAUUUUAGCAGUGGAAGGGAACCCUUUUCACCCAAAUUAGAAGGGAACCCUUUUGUCAGAGGGAAAGCAAACACUUAGGAAGCCAGUGAACAUGGAAGAACUCAGCCACUCUCUAAUUGGAUUUAAGGUCUGCUUCAUAGCAUGGCACCAGUACCUGACACUGGUAUCAGGCCUAGGAAUCUGAGGCUAGACCGGUCACAGGCCAUAAGGGAGGGCCUAAUACUAGUUUUCUGGUAAGUAGAUAUCCUAUUAGACUGACUUCUAAUUAUUUAUUGUUCUACCCAUAGAUUAAUACAUCUCUCAACUCUCAGGAGAGAAGCGUCCUCAUGCAACAGAUGGUGAUUAACACAGAUAACUGGCCAAUGUGCAGAGAAUAAGAUGCUGCAGAGUGCUUAUCCUUGAAGAGGACGCCUGUAUCAAAGCUCUGCCUCCUAGGCUCAGGGAUCAUCACAGAAGAGGGAACAGAAAGAUUGUACAAGCCAAAGGUGGUGGAUGACCACAAGAAAACAGUUUUCCAGACAGCUGGUCAGUUACUCAUAUGAACUCAUAGCAUGCACA